GUUUUAAGAACAGCAGCACCUAUACUAAAAUUUGAAUGAUACAGAGAAGAUAAGAAUGGCUUCUAAGUGAGGAUGACACAUAAAUUCGAUGAGUUCCAUAUUUUU